CUCCCUCUAAGUCCAGUGUUUCAAUCCUACUCAUUGCUUUGCAGCUUCCACACAAGAUCCCAAACGCUGUGGUCUCACAACUGGCACGCUCCAGGCUGCCCCUGGCCUUCCUGUCCCCAAAUGGCUCUUCCGCAAUAGGGAGCUCCAGCAGCCCCUCUCCUCAAUGCCUCCUUCAUCACCUGUGUCAGAAGAUCUUACCUUUGACACAUUGCAGGAAACUCCUGGAGCCUACCAUGAGAACUGGCCUCACAGCUGUGGGCACCAUUUCCAGCUGUGUGCAGAAGGUCUAUCAGCUUCCUCACCCUAGUCUGUGACCAACACCACCACUCAGGUCACCCACUUUUACCUGCCUCUUCAGCCUCACGCACAAACGCUCCGCUGGUUCUUCAUUCACCCCUAGGUGGAGCUCGAUACGUUCCCGUUCUCUCCCUCGAAGAGAGAGAGACUCCACCGUCUGGCCGGUCUGUCUUUCCUAAAAGGAACAGAGCCAUCCACGACAGCACUCCAGUCGUGCGAGCUGCCCUGCCAGGUCUCCACGGUGGGAACCUAAAUCGUGCUCCUGCAGUUACACGGGAAGGAAGAGGCGGGGAAAAAAAAAAAAAAAAACACGGUCCCAACCUGCUCGCUCCCACCGCUGGAAACGGGAUGGGUGAGAGCACCCGCAAAACACUCCGCAGUGGCCGAGGCCACCCCGGGAUCGUGCUCGGUCUCGGGCGGAGGCCCCGUGCCGGUCCUACUAAAAAAGCCACGCGGGAGCCCAGCGGCGGCGCCGUGCCGAUCCCAAAGACAGAGGCAGUCAAGCAGCAACCCUACAGGAGCCGUAGCACGAGAGAUCUUACCGAGCGACUCUCAAA
rnacentral:lncRNA from 1 species